rnacentral:tRNA from 1 species
GUGGGGCAAUAGGCAGAGCGUUCGGCUGUUAACCGAAAGGUUGGUGGUUCGAGCCCACCC